ensembl:snRNA U6 U6 spliceosomal RNA
GUGCUCGCCUUGGCAGCAUAUAUACUAAAAUUGGAAUGAUACAGAGAAGAUUAGCAUGGCCCCUGCACAAGGAUGACACACAAAUUUGUGAACCAUUCCAUAUUUAA